rnacentral:rRNA from 1 species
UCAGGACGAACGCUGGCGGCGUGCCUAAUACAUGCAAGUCGAACGGCCUUCUAUGGAAGCUUGCUUCCACUGAGAAGAUAGUGGCGAACGGGUGAGUAACACGUGGGUAACCCUGCCCAUAAGAGGGGGGAGUAACAUCCGGAAACGGGUGCUAAUACCGCAUAGUUUUCUUGAUCGCAUGAUCGGGAAAGGAAAGACGGCCUUUGUGCUGUCGCUUAUGGAUGGACCCGCGGCGUAUUAGUUAGUUGGUGAGGUAACGGCUCACCAAGACGAUGAUACGUAGCCGACCUGAGAGGGUGAUCGGCCACAUUGGGACUGAGACACGGCCCAAACUCCUACGGGAGGCAGCAGUAGGGAAUCUUCCGCAAUGGACGAAAGUCUGACGGAGCAACGCCGCGUGAGUGAAGAAAGGUUUUCGGAUCGUAAAACUCUGUUGUCAGAGAAGAACAAGUUGGAGAGUAACUGCUCCAGCCUUGACGGUAUCUGACCAGAAAGCCACGGCUAACUACGUGCCAGCCGCAGC